AAUUACAGGAAACUCUUUCCAGAGAAGAAGAAAAGAAGAGAGAAUUUUAUUGAUCUAUAAAAGCUUACUCAACAUUGUUACACUGCUUCUAUAUUAUAGAACACUAGAGAAUUGUGCUCUCAACUAAUAUGAUUACAAAUCAUAACAGAAAGAGGAUGUACAGCUGUGACAACUCAUUUUAUAUAGCUGGUGACAACUCAAUUUGCACAGCUAGUGACAGCUCAUUUUGUAACAACCUUCAUCUCAUCACCACAUUCUCUGACUGUAUCUGACAAUACUCCCUCUCAAGCAGGAAUGUGGAAAGCAUUAAGUACUCCCAACUUUGAGACAAGAAACUGAUGUUGUGCAGAUCCUAGUCCCUUUGUGAACACAUCUGCCAACAGAGAAGUUGUGCUAAUAAACUCAGAAAGAGGUUGUACAGCUGUAACAACUCGUUUUAUAUAGCUGGUGACAACUCAAUUUGCACAACUGGUGAUAACUCAUUUUGUAACAACCUUCAUCUCAUCACCACAUUUUCUGACGGUAUCUUCCAAUAAAUACAAACCUCAAAUGAUGAAUAUCAAUCAACAAGCAAUUCAAUGAUUGAAUCAAGCACUUUGGUUUCUCCCCCAAUAAAAUCUUCCUGGAUAGACUGUGACAAGACAAACAUUUUAGAUCCUUACAGUCUGGUAGUUAAAGACUUUGGCUCUUAAGAGUUAAAAGUAAAUAGAUUGUCUGGAAUACUUCACAAUGAUCUAGUUUUAUUCAACUUUUUCUAUUACUUGUUAUCUUAUUUUUAGCAUCUUAUUUUUCUCUAUAUCAUACAGGGAGAUAGUUCUCCAUAUCUUUUUCGUCAUUCUAAUGUUCAAGCUUUUCUAAGAAAACUAUGUAAGGAUCUG